AGGGGACCCAUUCCUUCAUUAGACUCUGCCCUAAACCAACGAACUCUGGGAGAGUGAACUACAGACCUGAAACUGACGGGUGAGGCAGACAGGAGAUGUGAGUGGCAGUUGUAUCUGAACAGGUUUUCCUGAGGUGGGCAGAAUCCUGAGUGAGGAGAACACUGAGGUGUUUUUGGCUGUGUGUGUGUAUACCAGGCGAGACCACGUGGCUGCAGUUCCUGUGGAGGCCAAAGGAGGGGUUGGAUUUCCUGGGACUGGAGUUACAGAUGGUUGUAAGCUGACACGUGGGUGCUGGGAAUUUCAAGAGGAGCCAGUAUACUGCUAAGCCAUCUCUCUAGCUUUGUUUCCAUAUUAACUGUGUAUGCAUUGCUGGUACAACACAGGCUGGGUUGGAAAAUUUAAUCAAAAUAGCGAGUGGUAGUUGAGUACUUCCAAACACAGAUUUUGGGGGAUAGAGGUAGGAGUUCAAGGUUGUCAUCUACUGCAAUCAAGUUCAAGGCCAGCUGGGUUACAUGAGAUACUGUCUUGAAACAAAACCCAAAACAACUCACAAAACCCAAAGCAGUAGUGUUUCACACUGUCCCAGGAAUCACGCUUUUAGGUAUUUCUGUUUAGUAGUUGUGUUCCUACUGGUGUUAAUGACCUAUGAACAGGGUUUUCCAGUAUUUAAUGACAAUGAACCCAAAGUACUGUGGACAAAGGAGUGACCACAGUGAUCCAGGAGUCUACAGAGCUGCCUGAAGACCUGUGGCCACCCCUGCUGUUUGCCAAGCACAUGGUGUGAAAAUGGGAAUAAGGCCAUUUGGGCAUCCAUGAAGAUUUCUUUGUAAAUAUUACGUGCAUGUACACAUGACUGCAUGAGUUUAUGUGCACCAUGUGUAUGCAGGUGCCCUACAAGGUCAGAGGGCAUCAGAUCCCCUGGAACUGGAGUUCCAGGACAUUGUGAACAUCCUGAUAUGGGUUUGAAAAGCAGUAAACACUCUUUAACCACUGAGCUUACUCUCUAGCCUCAAGUUUUUUUUUUUAAAAAAAAUGUAUUUUAAAACCUAUUUAUUGGGGCUGGAGAGAUGGCUCAGAGGUUAAGAGCACCGACUGUUCUUCCAGAGGUCCUGAGUUCAAUUCCCAGCAACCACAUGGUGGCUCACAACCAUCUGUAAUGAGAUCUGGCGCCCUCUUCUGGCCUGCAGGAAUACACACAGAUAGAACAUUGUAUACAUAAUAAAUAAAUCUUUAAAAAAACCCUAUUUAUUGGUGUGUGUGCUUAUACUGUAGUGCACAUGUGGAAGUCAGAGGACAACCUGCAGGAUUUGGUCUUUUCCUUUCACCAUGGGGCUCCUGGUGAACCAUCUCACCAAGCAAGGUUGGUUCAUUGUCUAUUAAGUCUUUUGAGACAGAGUCUCACUAUGUAUUCCUGGCUGUCUUGGAACUCACUCUGUAGACCAGGAUGGCCUCGAACUCACAGAGAUCUGCCUGCCUCUGCCUCCCAAGUGCUGGUCUAAAGGUGUGCAUCACUAUACCUGGCUUGUUCAUUGAAAAAAAAUUUAAAACACAUUUUAUGUGUAUGGGUGCUUUGCCUGGAUGUAUGUCUGUGUACCAUGUGCAAUGCCUGGGACCAGAGGAGGCCAGAGAGGGUGUCAGGUCCCCAGAACUACAGUUACAGAUGGUUAUGAGGCACCCAUUCUUUCCAGCCCCAGGGUUGUUCAUUUGAAAACACUAUUUUUAUUUGAGACAGGGUCCAUAUAGCCCUAGUUGUCCUGGAACUCACAGAGAUCCACAUGUCUCUGCCUCCUGAGUGCUGGGAUUAAAGGCAUGUGCCACCACCAGCUGGCUAUGUCCCAGUAUCUUUAUUUGAAAUUGUGUGUAUAUAUGUCUAUGUGCAUGUGAAUGCUGUGACAUCAGAAGUCACUGGAGCUGGAGUUACAGGAGAUUAGUAUGUUUGUCUGACCUGAGUGCUAGGAACCCCACCUGGGUCCUCUGCAAAAGGAGGAUACCCUCUUAUCUGCUGAGCAAACUCUCCAGCCCCUUAAACAUUUUCUUUUUAAACUUUUCUUCUUCUUCUUUUUUUUUUUUUUGGUUUUUCAAGACAGGGUUUCUCUGUGUAGCUUUGCGCCUUUCCUGGAACUCACUUGGUAGUCCAGGCUGGCCUCGAACUCACAGAGAUCCGCCUGGCUCUGCCUCCCAAGUGCUGGGAUUAAAGGCGUGCGCCACCACCGCCCGGCCUUUAAACUUUUCUUGCAGUGAAUGGUUGUGCAUGCCUAUCAUUCCAGCACUCUUGGUGUCUGAGGCAGGAAGUCUGACGUAAGUUUGAUAUCAGUCUUGAAUACAUAGUGAGAUUAAGACUCCCUGGUUACACAGAGAAAACCAACCAAAAACAAGAAACCAAACCAAAAAACCCCACAAACAAACAAAC